UACAGAGACUGCAAGCGUUAUUCGGAUUCACUGGGCGUAAAGGGUGCGCAGGCGGUCGGGUGUGUCAGAUGUGAAAUCCCGAGGCUCAACCUCGGAACUGCGUCUGAAACUACUCGACUAGAGUACUGGAGAGGGUAACGGAAUUCACGGUGUAGCAGUGAAAUGCGUAGAUAUCGUGAGGAAUACCAGAGGCGAAGGCGGCUCCCUGGACAAUAGCUGACACUCAGGCACGAAAGCGUGGGGAGCAAACAGG
rnacentral:rRNA from 1 species